AGAAGAGACAGGAGAGAUGAAAGGGAUUCAAGAACGAGAUGGGACCAACAGGAAGGUCACUUUGAUGAUCGGAGAGAAAGGAGAGAAGAGAGAGACAGGAGAGAAGGAAG
rnacentral:ribozyme from 1 species